AUUGAACGCUGGCGGCAGGCCUAACACAUGCAAGUCGAACGGUAACAGGAAGAAGCUUGCUUCUUUGCUGACGAGUGGCGGACGGGUGAGUAAUGUCUGGGAAACUGCCUGAUGGAGGGGGAUAACUACUGGAAACGGUAGCUAAUACCGCAUAACGUCGCAAGACCAAAGAGGGGGACCUUCGGGCCUCUUGCCAUCGGAUGUGCCCAGAUGGGAUUAGCUAGUAGGUGGGGUAACGGCUCACCUAGGCGACGAUCCCUAGCUGAUCUGAGAGGAUGACCAGCCACACUGGAACUGAGACACGGUCCAGACUCCUACGGGAGGCAGCAGUGGGGAAUAUUGCACAAUGGGCGCAAGCCUGAUGCAGCCAUGCCGCGUGUAUGAAGAAGGCCUUCGGGUUGUAAAGUACUUUCAGCGGGGAGGAAGGGAGUAAAGUUAAUACCUUGGCUCAUUGACGUUACCCGCAGAAGAAGCACCGGCUAACUCCGUG
rnacentral:rRNA from 1 species